UACAGAGGGGGCAAGCGUUGUUCGGAUUUACUGGGCGUAAAGGGCGCGUAGGCGGCCACCGCAAGUCAAUUGUGAAAUCUCCGGGCUUAACCCGGAAAGGUCAACUGAUACUGCGGGGCUAGAGUGCGGAAGGGGCAACUGGAAUUCUCGGUGUAGCGGUGAAAUGCGUAGAUAUCGAGAGGAACACCUGCGGCGAAGGCGGCAUCCUGGACCGAGAUUGACGCUGAUGCGCGAAAGCCAGGGGAGCAAACGGG
rnacentral:rRNA from 1 species